rnacentral:misc_RNA from 1 species
GUUUUUUUGAUGGAACAAUUUUUUAUGCUAAAUAUAUCUUAUUUGUGUGUUUGAGCAUGAAAUUCCAAAGUUUUAAUUUUUGUGAGUAUUUCGAGUGGUAUGAUAACCUAAUAUUUAAUUAAGCAAGAAAUAUAAUUUUUAAACUUUUGAAUAUAAUUAAUAGAUAUGAGUUAGAGGUUAUAGGAGGGAGACUAAUAUAAAUUUCAUAUGUGACGCUUUAAUUUCUUUAAUUUUUUUUU